rnacentral:hammerhead_ribozyme from 1 species
AUCCAACUGACGAGUCCCAAAUAGGACGAAAUGCGCAUUUUGGAU